rnacentral:rRNA from 1 species
AGAGAGAGACAUGCGCGCAUAUCAAUAAGCGGAGGAAAAGAAACUAACAAGGAUUCCCCUAGUAACGGCGAGUGAAGCGGGAAGAGCUCAAAUUUGAAAUCUUAAAGGGUUUCCCUUUACGAAUUGUAGUUUAAAGAAGUGUUUUCUGUUGAGGUUUUGGUAAAAGUUCUUUGGAAUAGGACAUCAUUAGAGGGUGAGAAUCCCGUAUUUGACCUUUACUUUCAACUUUGUGAUACACUUUCAAAGAGUCGGAUUGUUUGGGAAUGCAGUCCAAAAUGGGUGGUAAAUUUCAUCUAAAGCUAAAUAUUGGCGAGAGACCGAUAGCGAACAAGUACCGUGAGGGAAAGAUGAAAAGAACUUUGAAAAGAGAGUUAAACAGUACGUGAAAUUGUCAAAAGGGAAGCGUUUGACACCAGUGUUGUUUUUCUGAAAAUCAAUUAAAGAACUGUUUAUGCUAAGCUGUUUAGACUUUAUCAGCUAUACUGUUUAGUUUUGAGCUUUUCUUUAAUGCACUUUUCAGUUAACAAGUCAACAUCAAUUUCUUUUGCUGUAAAAAAGCUUGAGGAAGGUGGCUUGAGAUUCGUCUUAAGUGUUUAUAGCCUCUUGCCUAUGCAGUCGGAGAGAUUGAGGUCUGCAGCGUAGAUCCUUCGGGGCUAAAUGCAUUUGUGCUAAGUUAUAGCAUUUUAUAGACAACUUGUUGACUAUGAUUUGUCUUGUAGCUUACUCGCUUAUGUUAUUUUACCUACGCUUAGGAUGUUGACGCAUGAGAUAUACGC